GAUGAAGAACGUAGCGAAAUGCGAUAAGUAAUGUGAAUUGCAGAAUUCAGUGAAUCAUCGAAUCUUUGAACGCACCUUGCGCCCUUUGGCUAUUCCGAAGGGCAUGCCUGUUUGAGUAUCAUGAACACCUCAACUCUCAUGGUUUGCCAUGAUGAGCUUGGACUCUGGGGGUCUUGCUGGCCUAUGGUCAGCUCCUCUCAAAUAAAUCAGCUUGCCAGUGUUUGGUGGCAUCACAGGUGUGAUAACUAUCUACGCUUGUGGUUUUCCAUCAGGUAACCUUCAGUGAUGGAGGUUCGCUGGAGCUCAUAAAUGUCCCUCCUCAGCGAGGACAGCUUUUUGAACAUUUGAUCUCAAAUCAGGUAGGACUACCCGCUGAACUUAAGCAUAUCAAUAAGCGGAGGA
rnacentral:misc_RNA from 1 species